rnacentral:rRNA from 1 species
AUGCUAUGUAUUCCAAAAAAUGAGGGAGGUAUGGGAUUUCGUGAUUUAUAUUCAUUCAACUUAGCUAUGCUAGCUAAGCAAUGCUGGAGGCUCAUCACUAAUCCAGAUUCCUUGGUUGCAAAAGUAUUGAAAGCUAAAUACUACCCCAAUGGAACUCUUUUGGAUGCUACCCCAAAGAAUGGGUCAUCAUUUACAUGGCAAAGUAUUUUAAAGGGCCUUGAUACAUUCAAGAAAGGUUACAUAUGGAGGAUUGGUACUGGUGAGGACGUAAAUAUAUGA